GAGUUUGAACCUGGCUCAGGAUGAACGCUGGCGGCGUGCCUAAUACAUGCAAGUCGAACGAAACUUCUUUAUCACCGAGUGCUUGCACUCACCGAUAAAGAGUUGAGUGGCGAACGGGUGAGUAACACGUGGGCAACCUGCCCAAAAGAGGGGGAUAACACUUGGAAACAGGUGCUAAUACCGCAUAACCAUAGUUACCGCAUGGUAACUAUGUAAAAGGUGGCUAUGCUACCGCUUUUGGAUGGGCCCGCGGCGCAUUAGCUAGUUGGUGGGGUAAAGGCUUACCAAGGCAAUGAUGCGUAGCCGAACUGAGAGGUUGAUCGGCCACAUUGGGACUGAGACACGGCCCAAACUCCUACGGGAGGCAGCAGUAGGGAAUCUUCCACAAUGGGCGAAAGCCUGAUGGAGCAACGCCGCGUGGGUGAAGAAGGUCUUCGGAUCGUAAAACCCUGUUGUUAGAGAAGAAAGUGCGUGAGAGUAACUGUUCACGUUUCGACGGUAUCUAACCAGAAAGCCACGGCUAACUACGUGCCAGCAGCCGCGGUAAUACGUAGGUGGCAAGCGUUAUCCGGAUUUAUUGGGCGUAAAGGGAACGCAGGCGGUCUUUUAAGUCUGAUGUGAAAGCCUUCGGCUU
rnacentral:rRNA from 1 species